AGACGGCGCAGCCCUCGGGCGGACAACUUGGCCGCGGUGGUAGCGGGUGCAGUUUUCUGGUCCGUAUGUGCCCCCUCGUGUCCUUCUCAGGUGCCCUUGUCCUGCGCUCCCCGCGCCAGCGAGGCAGGAACCGAGAGCCAGGCAGGUGAGGGAGCCCGUCCGGGGGCAGCACCCACAGGUGCUUCAUGCACUGGUUUCCGAUCGAACAAACCCGCAAACACCCCAGCCUCGCCUGAGGAGGGGCUCAGCUUCCGGAGGUGAUUAGCACGAGCCAGACUCGGCUGGUCACGGGCCCACGUGGUUUGGUCGGAGGGUGGCGGGGGGCUGGGGGGCAGCCAGUCCUACUGUCCCUUUCCUGGAAGGAGGGGACCCAAGUUGGGAGAGGCGGGCCAGUGCCCACGGCCGCAUGACCGGAGGGUGGACGGCGUCACUUGGAUUCGGGCCCCUGGCGUUUCAGGGCCGGGUGGUGGCCGCCGGGGACUGCAGUGGUGGCCGAGAAGCAGCAGGGGCCCGGCCACGUGGCAGGCGCCUCUGCGGGGUCACGCGGCUGUGCCCUUUACAGAUGUGCAAGUGCAGGCCCGGGUGGGGCCGCAGCCACCGGGCACGGGCCGCCGGCGGGGUGGGCAGCCCGGCGCCCCGCUCCAUCCACGCGGUUAUUUGUUCGCUGUGUCCUCCCAGCCUUGCCGAUCCCCGUCGGCUGCUUUUCAGGCCUGGGGACUGUCGAGGCCGGGAGGGCGGGGGACGGACAGUGUUUCCUGGGACUCAUUGUUCAGUGAAGCACCUACGACGGCGUGGCUCCUGUGUUCCGUGGCUACUGACAGUGACGCAGAGAAGCAGGGGAAAUGCCGCGGGGAGCACGCGGUCUGACCUGCCGUGUCACCGCCGGGACACCGCCUCCUCCGUACCCCGAGCUUUCCCGCCUGAGAGAAAAGGUGGCCUUGGGCACCUGGGUGGCUCGGUCGCUUGGUUGGGUGUCUACCGUCGGCUCGGGCCAUGAUCCUGGAAUCCCGGGAGCGAGCCCCAUGUCGGGCUCCUGCUCAGCACGGAGUCUGCUUCACCCCUUCCCUCUGCCCCUCUCCUCGCUCCUCGUCUCUCUCACUCAUUCUCUCAAAUAAAUCAAAAAUUUUUUUUAAAUAAAAUGUGGCG
rnacentral:lncRNA from 12 species